rnacentral:rRNA from 1 species
AAGCCCGACUGCGUACUUUUUGUAGAACGGUCCGGCGAGUUGCGGUGUCCGGCAAGGUUAAGCGCCAAAGGCGCGGAGCCGGAGCGAGAGCGAGUCUGAAAAGGGCGAAAGUCAGACACUGCAGACCCGAAACCGGGUGAUCUACCCAUGGCCAGGAUGAAGCUGCCGUAAGAGGCAGUGGAGGUCCGAAGCCACAUCCGUUGAAAAGGGUGGGCAUGAGCUGUGGGUAGGGGAGAAAUUCCAAUCGAACCCGGAGAUAGCUGGUUCUCCUCGAAAUAGCUUUAGGGCUAGCCUCAUGGCAGACUUAUGGAGGUAGAGCACUGAACAUCCUAGGGAGCGUCAAAGCUUACCGAAGAUCAUCAAACUGCGAAUGCCAUCAAGCCGAUCCAUGGGAGUCAGACCGCACGAGAUAAGUUGGGUGGUCAAAAGGGAAAGAGCCCAGACCUCCGGCUAAGGUCCCAAAGUGUGUGUUAAGUGGUAAAGGAUGUGGGAUUUCGAAGACAACCAGGACGUUGGCUCAGAAGCAGCCAUACAUUGAAAGAGUGCGUAACAGCUCACUGGUCGAGAGGUCCUGCGCCGAAAAUUUCCGGGGCUGAAACACACCACCGAAGCUGAGGAACCGCGAAAGCGGCUGGUAGAGGAGCAUUGGAUGCUUAAAGAAGCGGUACCGGCAAGGAGCCGUGGAGAGCAUCGAAGAGAGAAUGCCGGAAUGAGUAGCGAGAGAUAGGUGAGAAUCCUAUCGGCCGAAUAUCCAAGGUUUCCAGAGUAAAGCUGAUCUGCUCUGGGGAAGUCGGGACCUAAGGCGAGGUCGAAAGACGUAGCCGAUGGACAGCAGGCAGAGAUUCCUGCACUGGCGGAUAUCAGAACUGCGGGGACGCAGGGCGGAAGGAUGAGCGCGGAAUGAAGAGACGCGUACAAGCAGAAGAGGGGGGCAGAUGGAAAAACCGCUGCCAGAAGCCUGGUCUGUGACGUGGACCGAAAUUCAAGUAGGGAAGCAUCCGGAAGCACUGCCUGGAAAAGCCGCUAUUGUGUAUCCGUCACCCGUACCGUAAACCGACACAGGUGGAUGAGGAGAGAAUCCUAAGGCCGACGGAAGAAGCAUUGUUAAGGAACUCGGCAAAAUGACCCCGUAACUUCGGGAGAAGGGGUGCCAUCGAGAGGUGGCCGCAGAGAAUAGGCUCAAGCAACUGUUUAGCAAAAACACAGGUCUAUGCGAAACCGAAAGGUGAGGUAUAUGGGCUGACGCCUGCCCGGUGCUGGAAGGUUAAGAGGAGAGGUUAGCGCAAGCGAAGCUUUGAAUUGAAGCCCCAGUAAACGGCGGCCGUAACAAUAACGGUCCUAAGGUAGCGAAAUUCCUUGUCGGGUAAGUUCCGACCCGCACGAAAGGCGUAAUGAUUUGAGCACUGUCUCGACAAUGCAUCCGGUGAAAUUGAAGUGCCAGUGAAGAUGCUGGCUACCCGCGCCAGGACGGAAAGACCCCAUGGAGCUUUACUCCAGUUUGAUGCUGGGAUUCGGUGAUGCAUGCACAGGAUAGGUGGGAGGCAGAGAAGUGUGUACCCAGGUAUACACGGAGCCGCUGUUGGGAUACCACCCUUGUGUCACUGGGUUUCUAACACGCCGCCGUGAUCCGGCGGGUGGACAAUGUCAGACGGGGAGUUUGACUGGGGCGGUCGCCUCCGAAAGGGUAUCGGAGGCGCUCAAAGGUUCCCUCAGAAUGGUCGGAAACCAUUCGGAGAGUGUAAAGGCAGAAGGGAGCCUGACUGCGACACCGACGGGUGGAGCAGAUACGAAAGUAGGACUUAGUGAUCCGGUGGAAUGAAAGUGGGAUUGCCAUCGCUCAACGGAUAAAAGCUACCCUGGGGAUAACAGGCUGAUCCUACCCGAGAGUCCAUAUCGACGGUAGGGUUUGGCACCUCGAUGUCGGCUCAUCGCAUCCUGGGGCUGUAGUAGGUCCCAAGGGUUGGGCUGUUCGCCCAUUAAAGCGGUACGCGAGCUGGGUUCAGAACGUCGUGAGACAGUUCGGUCCCUAUCCGGCGCGGGCGCAGGAUAUUUGAGAGGAGCUGCCCUUAGUACGAGAGGACCGGGGUGGACGGACCUCCGGUGCAUCAGCUGCACAUCAGGUGCAUGACUGGGUAGCCGUGUCCGGCAGGGAUAAACGCUGAAGGCAUCUAAGCGUGAAGCCCCCCUCAAGAUGAGAUAUCU